UGGUUACGUACUAAAUUAUUGUUGAGGAUCUCAGGUAAUCAUUGCAGUUGAAGAUUACGCCCCUGAUCAUCAUUCUCAUUUUCAAACUUGCCAUUUAUCAGAGGUUUUGGAUGGGGUGCAUUCAUGCAUUAUAUUGGAGCAAGGACCUGCCGAGGAGGGGGAUACCAUGAGGAGGCGAACCUGGUAAAAUAGGGGUGGAAAGUAUACUAUAGGAAAGACUGUGGGGUUUGUGUAUCCUUAUCCAGGACAUUGUGAAGGCUUCUGAUGCAGUUUACAAGAAGCAAUUGGUGAGCUAAUUCAGAGGUUAGGCAACGCUUGUCAUGAUUUUUUAUUUCUGAAGCCACAUUAGCAAGCAUCAUAAAUAUAACUAAAUGAUUGCUGGCUUCCGUAAUUGCCUACAUCAAUGUAAU